rnacentral:rRNA from 2 species
AAACCAACAGGGAUUGCCUUAGUAACGGCGAGUGAAGCGGCAAAAGCUCAAAUUUGAAAUCUAGCACCUUCGGUGUUCGAGUUGUAAUUUGAAGAAGGUAACUUUCGAAUUGGCUCUUGUCUAUGUUCCUUGGAACAGGACGUCACAGAGGGUGAGAAUCCCGUGCGAUGAGAUGUCCAAUUCUUAGUAAAGUGCUUUCGAAGAGUCGAGUUGUUUGGGAAUGCAGCUCUAAGUGGGUGGUAAAUUCCAUCUAAAGCUAAAUAUUGGCGAGAGACCGAUAGCGAACAAGUACAGUGAUGGAAAGAUGAAAAGAACUUUGAAAAGAGAGUGAAAAAGUACGUGAAAUUGUUGAAAGGGAAGGGCUUGAGAUCAGACUUGGUAUUUUGUGUGCUUUUCCUUUUUGGAUUGGUUUCUGCAGCUUACUGGGCCAGCAUCGGUUUGGGUGGCAGGAUAAUGACAUUGGAAUGUAGCUUCGCUUCGGUGAAGUGUUAUAGACU